CCUACGGGAGGCAGCAGUGGGGGAUAGUGGGCAAUGGGCGCAAGCCUGACCCAGCAACGCCGCGUGAAGGAAGAAGGCGUUCGGGUUGUAAACUUCUUUUGGCAGGGAAGAGGAGAAGACGGUACCUGACGAAUAAGCCACGGCUAACUACGUGCCAGCAGCCGCGGUAAUACGUAGGUGGCAAGCGUUGUCCGGAUUUACGUGGUGUAAAGGGCGUGUAGCCGGGUUGACAAGUCAGAUGUGAAAUCCUGCGGCUUAACCGCAGAACUGCCUUUGAAACUGUUGAUCUUGAGUACUGGAGAGGCAGCUGGAAUUCCUAGUGUAGCGGUGACAUGCGUAGAUAUUAGGAGGAACCCCAGUGGCGAAGGCGGUCUGCUGGACAGCAACUGACGGUGAGGCGCGAAAGCGUGGGGAGCAAACAGGAUUAGAUACCCUAGUAGUC
rnacentral:rRNA from 1 species